CCUACGGGGGGCAGCAGUGGGGAAUAUUGCGCAAUGGGCGAAAGCCUGACGCAGCGACGCCGCGUGAGGGAUGAAGGUCUUCGGAUCGUAAACCUCUGUCAGCAGGGAAGAACAGUCACUGUGCUAAUCAGCAGUGACUUGACGGUACCUGCAAAGGAAGCACCGGCUAACUCCGUGCCAGCAGCCGCGGUAAUACGGAGGGUGCGAGCGUUAAUCGGAAUUACUGGGCGUAAAGCGCUCGUAGGCGGUAUGUCAAGUCAAGGGUGAAAUCCCCGCGCUCAACGUGGGAACUGCCUUUGAAACUGGCAAACUGGAGUGUGUGAGAGGAUAGUGGAAUUCCAGGUGUAGGAGUGAAAUCCGUAGAUAUCUGGAGGAACAUCAGUGGCGAUGGCGACUAUCUGGCACAUAACUGACGCUGAGGAGCGAAAGCGUGGGUAGCAAACAGGAUUAGAUACCCUAGUAGUC
rnacentral:rRNA from 1 species